GAUGAAGAACGUAGCGAAAUGCGAUAAGUAAUGUGAAUUGCAGAAUUCAGUGAAUCAUCGAAUCUUUGAACGCACAUUGCGCCCGCCAGUAUUCUGGCGGGCAUGCCUGUUCGAGCGUCAUUACAACCCUCAGGCCCCCGGGCCUGGCGUUGGGGAUCGGCGGAAGCCCCCUGCGGGCACAACGCCGUCCCCCAAAUACAGUGGCGGUCCCGCCGCAGCUUCCAUUGCGUAGUAGCUAACACCUCGCAAUUGGAGAGCGGCGCGGCCACGCCGUAAAACACCCAACUUCUGAAUGUUGACCUCGAAUCAGGUAGGAAUACCCGCUGAACUUAAGCAUAUCAAUAAGCGGAGGA
rnacentral:misc_RNA from 1 species